GCUUGUCUCAAAGAUUAAGCCAUGCAUGUCUAAGUGUAAAUACGUCUACACUGUGAAACUGCGAAUGGCUCAUUAAAUCAGUUAUCGUUUAUUUGAUGAUCUCUUGUUACAUGGAUAACCGUAGUAAUUCUAGAGCUAAUACAUGCGUCAAGCCCCGACUCACGAAGGGGUGUAUUUAUUAGAUUCAAAACCAACCGUGUAAAAGCGUACCUUGGUGAUUCAUAAUAACUUGUCGAACCGCACGCCCUUGAGGCAGCGGUGAUUCAUUCAAAUUUCUGCCCUAUCAACUUUCGAUGGUAAGGUAUUGGCUUACCAUGGUUGCAACGGGUAACGGAGAAUUAGGGUUCGAUUCCGGAGAGGGCGCCUGAGAAAUGGCGACCACAUCCAAGGAAGGCAGCAGG
rnacentral:rRNA from 1 species